GUGGGGAAUAUUGGACAAUGGGGGGAACCCUGAUCCAGCCAUGCCGCGUGUGUGAAGAAGGCCUUUUGGUUGUAAAGCACUUUAAGCGAGGAGGAGGCUACCGAGAUUAAUACUCUUGGAUAGUGGACGUUACUCGCAGAAUAAGCACCGGCUAACUCUGUGCCAGCAGCCGCGGUAAUACAGAGGGUGCAAGCGUUAAUCGGAUUUACUGGGCGUAAAGCGCGCGUAGGUGGACACUUAAGUCAAAUGUGAAAUCCCCGAGCUUAACUUGGGAAUUGCAUUCGAUACUGGUUGGCUAGAGUAUGGGAGAGGAUGGUAGAAUUCCAGGUGUAGCGGUGAAAUGCGUAGAGAUCUGGAGGAAUACCGAUGGCGAAGGCAGCCAUCUGGCCUAAUACUGACACUGAGGUGCGAAAGCAUGGGGAGCAAACAGGAUUAGAUACCCGGGUAGUCC
rnacentral:rRNA from 1 species